AGUUUUACCUGUUUUGUUUUUUAAUUUACCAAAAUAAUUCUUCUUUUAACUGCCGUUAGUUCUCUGAUAUCAUCCUUUCUCCAGCUCCUCUUUCUUUAACCAGCAGUGCCGGAGUUUGCUGAUAUCCUCCUCUUUCUUCUCCGGCGUUAGUUCUCUGAAAAUUUUAUGGUAUGGCGGAGGCGGCAGAGGUAGUGGUAAUAGAGGCCGCAGAGUCUGGGUUCCAGGAUAUCUGACCUUGCAAACUGCUUCGGUCGUCUUUCUCAUUGCUAUCGCUAACUUCUAAGGUUCUAUUUCAGAUUUGAAUCAUCGUUAUCGGUGAUUUGAAGUGUUAAGCUGCGGAUUUUCAAGAAAAUGGGGAGCAUAAAUUGUAAUGCAGUGCACAUAAAAACCUCUGAAAUGAAGGGAUUUUGCUUAGUACUCCUGUUUUAAACAAG